UGCGCAGGGCGUGUUUCAGGACGAUGUUGCCAAAGCUCACCCCCUUCAGCCGCGCCGUGCGGAUGUAUUGCGCGGUCAUCACCUCGGUCAUCGAAGCACGGGUCAUGCGCGCGAUAUAGCCCAUCCCGUAAAGCGAGAUGGUCAGCACCGGCAGAAAGAAGUUCCAGAAGGUCGCGUCU
rfam:Sulfitobacter sp. CB2047 contig_3, whole genome shotgun sequence.